rnacentral:rRNA from 1 species
GACGAACGCUGGCGGCGUGCUUAACACAUGCAAGUCGAACGGAAAGGCCCUGCUUUUGUGGGGUGCUCGAGUGGCGAACGGGUGAGUAACACGUGAGUAACCUGCCCUUGACUUUGGGUUAACUUCAGGAAACUGGGGCUAAUCCCGGUUAGGAGCUCCUGCUGCAUGUUGGGGGUUGGAAAGUUUCGGCGGUUGGGGAUGGACUCGCGGCUUAUCAGCUUGUUGGUGGGGUAGUGGCUUACCAAGGCUUUGACGGGUAGCCGGCCUGAGAGGGUGACCGGCCACAUUGGGACUGAGAUACGGCCCAGACUCCUACGGGAGGCAGCAGUGGGGAAUAUUGCACAAUGGGCGGAAGCCUGAUGCAGCAACGCCGCGUGCGGGAUGACGGCCUUCGGGUUGUAAACCGCUUUCGCCUGUGACGAAGCGUGAGUGACGGUAAUGGGUAAAGAAGCACCGGCUAACUACGU